rnacentral:rRNA from 1 species
UACGUAGGGUGCAAGCGUUAAUCGGAAUUACUGGGCGUAAAGCGUGCGCAGGCGGUUGUGUAAGUCAGAUGUGAAAUCCCCGGGCUCAACCUGGGAAUUGCAUUUGAGACUGCACGGCUAGAGUGUGUCAGAGGGGGGUAGAAUUCCACGUGUAGCAGUGAAAUGCGUAGAGAUGUGGAGGAAUACCGAUGGCGAAGGCAGCCCCCUUGGAUAACACUGACGCUCAUGCACGAAAGCGUGGGGAGCAAACAGG